CACAGCUGCUUACAUCUUUACUGCGCAAUUCAACCGCAUGUUUAAAGAAAGGUUACUAAAACCGAACUCACUGUGCGUAUCGCACACGCGUUCAUCUAAUAAGUGAUAUUUAUUGCAAGUACAAAAAUUUAUUAUUUUAUUUAUUUCCGUAAAAAUGUCUUCAAGAUGGUCCUAUAAGGCAGCAGAAAAAUUAUCAAUAGUUAAAUAUGCUGAGUCUAACGGAAAUCGAGAAGCAAGUCGUCACUUUUCCGUAAACGAAGCAAAUGUUCGAUUGUGGCGAAAAAACAAAGAAGCUCUACAAAUUAUGCCCAGGAAGAAAAAGUCGAAUCGGGGAUUACGACCUAGUUUUCCAGAACUGGAAAAGGCUGUAAUGGAGUGGGUAGUAGAUAAGAGACAGCAAGGUAUCGGAGUUUCGUGCAUUGAAAUCAGACUGAAAGCUCUAGAAGUCAAAAAAAUCUUGUGCCAACGCAACACAAUUCAAAGCUUUGUACGGAUGGGCAGUUUGUUUCAUGAAACGAAAUGGGCUUUCUGUUCGUAGAAGAACCACUAUUGCGCAGCAUAUUCCAGACGAUCAAGAAAAAAAAUUUCUUAAGUUCCAAAAGUUCGUGAUAAAAUUGAGAAAGAAACAUAAUUAUGAUUUUUCCCAAAUUGGAAAUGCAGAUCAAACACCCCUGACCAUUAUAAAAUGGGGACAGUAUCACGUAAAAUUAUAUUUGAUACAUAAAAAAAAAACACGCCCUUGGGAUAGGCUGCAUUUUAAAAUUUAAAAUUUUUUAGUAAUUUAUUUUUAAAAAAAAUAAUAUGCAUUAAAUUUACUUCAACUGUAAAUUAUACGCAAUAUUCAAAAAAAAUAUUUUUUUAUUAGAAAAACGCUCAUUUUCACAAGGAAUAUAAUUUCUGCGUUAAGUUUUGUUUUGCUGAGUAAUUUUUCUGAUUUCAAGUAAUUGUUUUGAAUUUUAAGAAACUUACUGGAUUAAAAUUAUUUUAAAGAUUUUUCAAAUAAAACAUUGAUAAGCAUUAGGUGCGUAUUAUAGUGGAAUUUUAAUUUUUCGUAGAAAUUUCGCGCAAAAUCAAGCAGGCGUAUUAUACACGAGUGCGUAUUAUAAUCAAGAUUUUACGAACUCCUUUUUUUGAAUGUAAAUGGAUGACAAAGAUGAAAUUUUUUGUGGAACACAUAGUAAUAUUAGGUUCAUCGGCAAUUGUGCCUGGCCUAUAAAUGCAUCCGCGAAGAACCUUUUCAUUGCAAAUACGUAGUGAUGUCUAAACUUGCUCUAAUUUGUCACUUUAUCAGAAGCUGUAGCAGAUUUAAUAUUUUCUUUGACGUAUAUGCAUACUCCCCCUCCUCGUUUACCUGUUCAAUCUUUGCAAAAUUUGCAAAAACAUUUCAUUAAACUUUCACUAAUAAAAAGUGGCUGAGAUGUGACUAUUUCAGCAAUAAAUUCAUUGUAUUAACAAUUUAAUGAUAUAGCAUUUGUAUACCAACAUGAUAAAAAAUUUUCUGUUA
rnacentral:misc_RNA from 1 species